rnacentral:rRNA from 1 species
AGGACGAACGCUGGCGGCGUGCUUAACACAUGCAAGUCGAGCGGAAAGGCCCUUCGGGGUACUCGAGCGGCGAACGGGUGAGUAACACGUGAGCAACCUGCCCUUAGCUUCGGGAUAGCUCCGGGAAACCGGAAUUAAUACCGAAUAUGACCUUGGCUGACAUCAGCAGAAGUGGAAAGUUUUUCGGCUAGGGAUGGACUCGCGGCCUAUCAGCUAGUUGGUGAGGUAACGGCCCACCAAGGCGACGACGGGUA